GCCUGAGUGGCUCAGUUGGUUAAGCGUCUGACUUCAGCUCAGCUCAUGAUAGCACAGUUCGUGAGUUUGAGCCCCACAUUAGGCU
rnacentral:tRNA from 1 species